UACAGAGGCCUCGAGCGUUAUUCGGAAUCACUGGGCUUAAAGCGUGUGUAGGCGGACUUCUAAGUACCUUGUGAAAUCCCACGGCUCACCCGUGGAACUGCUUGGUAUACUGGUUGUCUUGAGCCUUCUAGGGGCGAGUGGAACAAAUGGUGGAGCGGUGAAAUGCGUAGAUAUCAUUUGGAACGCCAAUGGUGAAAACAACUCGCUGGGGAAGUGCUGACGCUGAGACACGAAAGCCAGGGGAGCGAACGGG
rnacentral:rRNA from 1 species